GAUCUGAGAGAAUAUUGGUCAAAUGCUGUAUGGAAGACUAGUGAUUUUGUUGUUGUAAUAUAUAAAGACAACAAAACACAGCCUGCCUUACAGCGUGGACACUAUCCCACUUCAACCCAA
rnacentral:pre_miRNA from 15 species